rnacentral:rRNA from 1 species
GAGUGGCGGACGGGUGAGUAAUGUCUGGGAAACUGCCUGAUGGAGGGGGAUAACUACUGGAAACGGUAGCUAAUACCGCAUAACGUCUUCGGACCAAAGUGGGGGACCUUCGGGCCUCAUGCCAUCAGAUGUGCCCAGAUGGGAUUAGCUAGUAGGUGGGGUAAAGGCUCACCUAGGCGACGAUCCCUAGCUGGUCUGAGAGGAUGACCAGCCACACUGGAACUGAGACACGGUCCAGACUCCUACGGGAGGCAGCAGUGGGGAAUAUUGCACAAUGGGCGCAAGCCUGAUGCAGCCAUGCCGCGUGUAUGAAGAAGGCCUUCGGGUUGUAAAGUACUUUCAGCGAGGAGGAAGGGAUUGUGGUUAAUAACCGCAGUCAUUGACGUUACUCGCAGAAGAAGCACCGGCUAACUCCGUGCCAGCAGCCGCGGUAAUACGGAGGGUGCAAGCGUUAAUCGGAAUUACUGGGCGUAAAGCGCACGCAGGCGGUUUGUUAAGUCAGAUGUGAAAUCCCCGGGCUCAACCUGGGAACUGCAUUUGAAACUGGCAGGCUUGAGUCUCGUAGAGGGGGGUAGAAUUCCAGGUGUAGCGGUGAAAUGCGUA